GAUGAAGAACGUAGCGAAAUGCGAUACGUAAUGUGAAUUGCAGAAUUCAGUGAAUCAUCGAGUCUUUGAACGCACAUUGCGCCCCCUGGUAUUCCGGGGGGCAUGCCUGUCCGAGCGUCAUUGCUGCCCUCAAGCACGGCUUGUGUGUUGGGCCUCCGUCCUCCUCCCGGGGGACGGGCCCGAAAGGCAGCGGCGGCACCGCGUCCGGUCCUCGAGCGUAUGGGGCUUCGUCACCCGCUCUUGUAGGCCCGGCCGGCGCUUGCCGACACAUCAAUCUUUUUUCCAGGUUUACCUCGGAUCAGGUAGGGAUACCCGCUGAACUUAAGCAUAUCAAUAAGCGGAGGA
rnacentral:misc_RNA from 1 species